rnacentral:rRNA from 1 species
CUGAAAACCUAGCCCGCCACCCCCCCCUUUUUUUCAACUUAAACUAAAAUAUUCUCACAGCCCAGUAAAGAAGAUUAAAAAACUUUUAAGAGCUAUAACUUGUACCGCAAGGGAAAGAUGAAAUAAAAAUGAAAUAACUUUAAGCACAAAAAAGUAGAGACUCACCCUCGUACCUUUUGCAUCAUGGUUUAGCUAGUCUAAUUAGGCAAAAAGACCUUAAGUCUAACUUCCCGAAACUAAGUGAGCUAUUUUAGGGCCGCUUUAUGAGCCCACCCGUCUAUGUUGCAAAAUAGUGGGAUGACCCUAAAAUAGAGGUGACAGACCUAACGAACUUAGUUAUAGCUGGUUUCUCAAGAAAAGAAUCUUAGUCCAACCUAAAGUAAACCCACCCCUACAACUGACCCCAUUACUUCAGAGCAAUUCAAAUGAGGUACAGCCCAUUUGAUUUAGGAUCCAACCUUCACUAACGGGUAACACACAACUCACACCUACAAGUAGGCUUAAAAGCAGCCACCUUUUAAAAAGCGUCAAAGCUUAACCAUGUGCACUUCAAUACGCAAACCUUCAUCGAACCCUUUAACCUUACUGAGAACUUCUAUAACACUAUAGAACCUUUAAUGCUAAAACUAGUAACAAGAGGCAACACCUCUCCUUAAUGCAAACAUAAGCCAGCAAGAACCCACCACUGGCAAUUAGCAGCCUUAAACAAAAGUAGCAACCUCACUAGAAAACCCUACUUCCCACGCUGUUACCCUGACACCAGAGCAUUUCAAGAAAGAUUAAAAGAAAAAGAAGGAACUCGGCAAAUAUUUUAGCCUCGCCUGUUUACCAAAAACAUCGCCUCUCGCCCCACCCUGAGAGGUCCAGCCUGCCCAGUGACUUUGUUCAACGGCCGCGGUAUCCUAACCGUGCGAAGGUAGCGUAAUCACUUGUCUUCUAAAUAAAGACCAGUAUGAAAGGCAUCACGAAGACUAAACUGUCUCCUUUCCCUAAUCAGUUAACCUAUUCCCCCCGUGAAGAAACGGGGAUCCCCCUACAAGACGAGAAGACCCUAUGGAGCUUAAAACAUCAUAACACCUGCUACAGCCAAAAUAUCCAGAUUUCCCCCCCCCAGCACGCUGAUUAUAAGUUUUUGGUUGGGGUGACCGUGGAGAAAAUCUCAUCCUCCACAAUGAAAGGGACACUCCCCUAAACAAUAAGUUACAACUUUAUGUAUCAAAAAAUCGACAUCCUUUGACCCAAUAAAUUGACCAAUGAACCAAGUUACCCUAGGGAUAACAGCGCAAUCCACUUCGAGAGCCCCUAUCGACAAGUGGGCUUACGACCUCGAUGUUGGAUCGGGGUAUCCUAGUGGUGCAGCCGCUA